rnacentral:rRNA from 1 species
GUCCUUUAGAUAAAUAAUUUAAGGUCUGAUCUGCCCACUGAAAAUUUAAAUGGCCGCAGUAAUUUGACUGUGCAAAGGUAGCAUAAUCAAUAGUUUUUUAAUUAAAAGCUUGAAUGAAUGAUUGGACGAAAUAAAAACUGUCUCUUAGUUAAAAUUAGAAUUUAAUUUUUAAGUUAAAAAGCUUAAAUUAAAAUAAAAGACGAGAAGACCCUAUAGAUUUUUAUUUUAAAAAUUUAUAUAUUGAUUAAAGAUUAUUUUUAAUUGUAUAGAAUUUAAAAUUUUAUUGGGGUAAUAAAAAGAUUAUAAAAAUUCUUUAUGUUUUUCACAUAAAUUAAUGAAUAAUUGAUCCAUAAAAAUGAUUAAAAGAUUAAGUUACCUUAGGGAUAACAGCGUAAUUUUUUUAGAGAGUUCUUAUCGAUAAAAAAGUUUGCGACCUCGAUGUUGGAUUAAAAUUUAAUUUAAAUGCAGAAGUUUAAAUUUUUAGUCUGUUCGACUAUUAAAAUUUUACA